rnacentral:rRNA from 1 species
AUUGAACGCUGGCGGCAUGCCUUACACAUGCAAGUCGAACGGUAACGGGCCUUCGGGUGCCGACGAGUGGCGAACGGGUGAGUAAUACAUCGGAACGUGCCCGAUCGUGGGGGAUAACGAGGCGAAAGCUUUGCUAAUACCGCAUACGAUCUACGGAUGGAAGCAGGGGACCGCAAGGCCUUGCGCGGACGGAGCGGCCGAUGGCAGAUUAGGUAGUUGGUGGGAUAAAAGCUUACCAAGCCGACGAUCUGUAGCUGGUCUGAGAGGAUGAUCAGCCACACUGGGACUGAGACACGGCCCAGACUCCUACGGGAGGCAGCAGUGGGGAAUUUUGGACAAAGGGCGCAAGCCUGAUCCAGCCAUGCCGCGUGCAGGAUGAAGGCCUUCGGGUUGUAAACUGCUUUUGUACGGAACGAAAAGCCUUCUUUUAAUACAGGAGGGUCAUGACGGUACCGUAAGAAUAAGCACCGGCUAACUACGUG